UACGUAGGGGGCGAGCGUUGUCCGGAGUUACUGGGCGUAAAGCGCACGCAGGCGGUCGCGUAAGAGUGCGGGGACAGUGGGCGGCUUAACUGCCCAAGGGUCGCACAGACUGCGUGACUGGAGGGCCAGAGAGGGACCUGGAAUUCCGGGUGGAGCGGUGAAAUGCGUAGAGAUCGUAAGGAAGACCAGUGGCGAAGGCGGGUCUCUGGACAGUUCCUGACACUGAGGCACGAAGGCCAGGGGAGCAAACGGG
rnacentral:rRNA from 1 species